UGAAAGUUACAAAGCCUGGUGUACUUCACAGAUCACUAACCCAGUUCAAGAGCAAGAAGUUGAAAGCAGUUGACCACCAGAUGGGAUGUUGUAGCUAUGAAGUAAUGAUGUUGAAAUAUGUUUCUGUUGAGCACGAGUCGUCUGGAGGGGAAGACCAGUUUGAUUUUGGUCAAUGCGGUGAGCAGAGGAUUCCUCAAAAUAUGAUUGCCACCUGAUUGAAUUAGGAGAAAAUCCCUCUUCAAGGCAGAAAGUAUCGUAUAGCAGUCUGGCCGAUUAUAACGCACAUGUGCUUUAAUGACACAACAUUUGAAGGAAGGAUUCAUCCACACAAUGUCUGAUCUUCACUCUAAUGUGAUCCCUGGAGCUGCACUUGCACAAUGAUGGAUCCAGUAUCUCUUGAUAGAUUUCUGCGGCAUAAUAGAUCUGGGAUACGCCGGUCAACUUUGUUACACUGCUGGAACGCUCAGAUUUUGAAGAGAUCUUCCUUCUUGAGUCUCUGAGAAGUAAUUUAUUUUUUAAUCACUCUGAAAUGUGGGUGUUUUAGUUCAAUUACCGACAUGCCGGCAAUUUUUCUCAAUGUUUCAUAUUUAUAUAUCUGCGUUUCAGGUAUAGUCGUUUUGCAGGAGCAACCAUUUGCAACGGAGCAGAAGAUGCCAUAAACUAUGCGAGUCUGACUGCUUACAAUAGUUUUAUCUUACCUGAGAUUGCUUGAGUCUUGCAAGAAAGAAAAUAAUUAUUUGCAACUAUUCUGAAUCAGCUGGGUUUUUUUUUUAACAUUAUUGGCAGGCCCCAUUUUGGCUGUAGAUGCAAGCUCAGAGUUUCCCAUGGACUGCAAGAAUCAGCCUGCUGUGGCUGGUUGGGUUCCUGGCAGAGUGAUUUGAUUUAAUAACGUAAAAUCACAUUGCCAGGGAUUACCAACCUGUCAACAGCUAAUGCCGACAACUUCUUGCAGAAAAUUGCAUCUUGCUAUUGGGGAGAGAGGAAUUGUACAUUUUUCCACGUCCUUAAUAAUCAAGGAAUCACUGGAACAAAAAAAAGAUGCAGCUGUAUCUACAUUGCCAUCAGCCAUCCCGAUCAUAUCGUAGCAGAUGUCCUGUACUCCCAUACAUUAAGAGUGGAAAGCCUUGCUUACUUUUACGAUACCCGUUCAUUUGGAAAGAUUGUGAUCAGACAAUGAGCAAUUCAAUGUUAGGUAGUAAUGUCAAAUGCACAGCAUCGUUUGAUGAUCAAUUAGACAUAACUCCUUAGUACUGUUUCCUUUGAUGUUAAUAAUUACGGAAACCAGGCGAGAUGCUUAACAGCACGCAAGGCCAAUAUCAGGAAUUUUAACCUAUUUAGCCUAACAACAAAAUCUCCAAAACCAGCUAGCUUCAUAGUCGUGCUUUAAUAUGAUUGUUUUACAGGAACACCAUCAAAUAACAUUUGCCACCAGGGCAGAUAAAGAGGUAAGGCUGUAGGAAGGAACUGCAGUUGCUCGUUAAAACCGAAGAUAGACACAAAAUGCUGGAGUAAUUCAGCGGGACAGGCAGCAUCUCUGGGACGAAGGAAUGGGUGACGUUUUGGGUCGAGAGCCUUCUUCAGUUUGAAGAAGGGUUUUUCCGACCCAAAAUGUCACCCAUUCCUUCUCUAGAGGGAUGCUGCCUGUCCCGCUGAAUUACUCCAGCAUUUUGUGGCUAUAAAGAGAUAGAGGGUCAGAUUACUAAAAUGAUUUCAAACAAUCAGAUUCUAUAAAGCUUCUAAAAAUGGAGUUGGAAAGGUUUAGUAAGGGGAUUACAGAGCUUUAAUGCUUUGGCAAAUGAAGGCAUAAUAUUUUUCCGAUGUUAGCUUUGGCUUGAUAACAAUCGAUAGUCAGGAGGGAGCUUGUACAUGUGUCCUUGAUGUGCUGCUCACCUUCAGCUAUACAACUUGGGUGGGUGGUAAGGAACAAGAUCUGAGUUAAAAUUACCCUCCGUAAGUUUGCUCAAGAAAGGUUUUAUUCGAAAAUUAGGUUUUAACCAAACGCAUCCAUUAGUGUGGCCAACACAUCAAUGUGAAAGGAUUAUUGAUGGGUUUACCAGAUUGUCUGCUGUGUCAGUCUUGAAUGGGACUUUCCAAUGGGAGAAUUCCUCAGUGGGAUAAUAUCAUCCGCCUUAAAAAAAAGUACUAAAAAUUGGGUAAACUACAAUUACUCGAAAUAUGAAACAAAACUCGAAAAUGUUGGAAGCACAGCAGUGGAAAGAGAAACAGUUACCGUUUUAGAUCAAAAUCUCUUCAAAGUAAGAUUUAUUCAUAUAAGGAAAACAUGAGAAGAAUAAGCUCACCAACUCACAAGGCAAAUUGGCCAUUCAUUUCUUACAAUUUUCCAACCAGGAAAGAUUGGAAUGUUAUUGGAUUCCUGCUUUAAAAUGGAACAAAAACCGAGAAGCCAACUCAGUUUGUAACUUUUCUGUAAAAACUGCACCAGGUAAAAAUUGUGAUUGCCAUCUAUAAGAUUUCUUUCACAGAGAGAAACAAAGCGGGCAGUGUUAACUGAGGCAGUAGUCUUUCCUUUCCAAGCAAAAAUAUCAUGACAAAAUACACUCCUCUGUGGUCAGUUGCUUGUAUAGAGUCCCUCCUUUCUGCUUUGAAAAAAGGGCUGAGAAAGUUGACUUUUACUGACAAAAACAAAAGGGAAUUCUGCCUUGUGCGUACUGACGGGAGGAGUGAGCCUGUGUCCUUGACGUGCCAGCAUUUUGUUUACUGCUCACCUUCAGCUGUUUCACAUUAUGAACUGCACAGCCACGUGGAGAUACUAAGGCAGCCUGCAGCAGGGAUUUUGUGUCUGAGCCCUAUGCGGUGAAGGACUUAGCUAAUUCUGUGAACAGAUCUUUGAACGCCUUCAUGUUCACAGUGGCUAAGUUCCGCACCUCAGGGGUUGAACUCAAGAGGAUUUCCGGACUUCCAUUUGCAGUUCAUAUGUCAGUGCAGGCUUAAUGUCAUUUGGUCCCCAGGUCUUGCUGCUGCUAAUUAUUCGUCUUGUCUGUGUGACUCAAUGCACUGUUUUUCCAGAUUACUCGAGUACAACAGGCAGAUUAAAGUGAGGGGUUAUUUAAGUGAGGGCCUUGAUUGGAUCCAAACGUAGAUAUCUCAUUUUUAAAAAUACUCCCACACUUCCCUCAGGCGUUGCGGCAGCAUUAUUUUAACCAGACCAAUGCCAUUUAUUUACUCACAAAUGGUGAUUAUAUUGCACAUCUCUAUGGAAUAUCGUGAAUUCUUCUUCAUCAUUUAUUUCCAAUUUAAGUACAAUUUAAGAUGAUUCCAGGCUAAUGUUUGGCAGAAAAUAAUUAGUUUGCCUGUAUAUAAAUACACGUUAUACUGUAGAUAUGGGAUAUUUACACCACAUUCACCCCCUUGCCAGUCACCUACCUCUUCCAUUACCACCUCUACUAGAAUGCAGGGAGACUCACUUGUCUCUGAAGAGGAACAAGAAAGUUCUCAGAAUUACUAACAAAAUGGAGGGAGCCCAUUGUGAGGAGAGGGUUAUUUAGAGGUUAGUGAGGGACCAGUAGUCAUAUAUUCAACAUUUCCUUGCAGUCAGUCCAGGCAUACAGAAGAUAAGUGAAAAGUGCUUCUCAGCAGCUGGGAAAUAUGUUGAUUAGUGUGCGGUGAAUUUGUUUUUUAAAAACCCGCAGAUGCUGGAAAUCUGAAAUAAAAAACAGAACAUUUCAGAAACCUUCAGCAGGUUAGGCAUCAUCUGUGGAAAGAGAAACAGAGUUAACAUUUCAUUUCAAGGAUUAAUGAGUAAAUUAGGAGGUCAGGAAAAGCCAAGCUUGUACUUCUGAUUGCUACGGAAAUGAAGGGGAGAGAGCGAGACGUAUUCCAAUAACCACAGAUCCAAGGCCUAGUGAAAAAUUAACUGUGCUCUGAUGAAAUGUUAACAGUUUCCUGUUAAAUUAGUGCAGUCUUUAGACAAAGUCCAGAAUUAAAGUAGGCGACUAGUGCUAGUAUCGAAUAAAACUCAAUGACAUUGACAGCAGAGGCCGGAGAUAAUGUAAAAUUAAGGGAGACAUUGCAUGUUUUAAGCUUGGAAAUUUAGUACAAUGUUCGCUCAAGAGGUAUAAUCAGAAGGAAUGUGAAGUAUCAAUAGUAUGGGUGAUGUUUUAUAAUCAGUAGAUCUGGUCACUAGGAUGGAAUGGAAGCAGAGAGGAUGGUGAAGCCAUCAGCUACACACUAGGUGGAGUGACUGAACAAAUAGAGGGCAUUAGAAAGUCUGGUUGAGGCAUCUUAAUAUAGUUUUAUUUUCACUCCUGGGAAGCAUUUAAAACAAAAUCACCUCAAAUCAAUUCAUUGGUUCUGGCUCAAAAGGGUCUGGAAAAUUUCUGCUCAAGUAUUAACAGAGGUAGCAAGGAAAGCAGAAGUAGUCAAACUAAAUCUAUGGGAAAAUAUUAAUGUAAGUGAAAAGGGAAUGAUGCAAACUCGCACCACAUUCUGUGCCAUACAAUAUUUUAAAGUUUAUGUUCCUUAAACAAGAAACUAAACUUGUUUCUAGUUUAAGAACAGGGCAAAGAAUACUCCAAAACAGCUUUUUAACACAGAAAUUGAUAUCUAAGUGCUAAUCCCACAUAACCAUCCAAACAAGUUAUUGUACUUUAUGUUAAGAUACAGCACGUCAUGAAGUUCUAACAGACCUAAAAAUGUUUUAUAACUAUUUUCAAUGCUGUUGUAAUGAUUGAUGUUGAAGGGAUAGUACCACUGGGUGGAUCUGCCCAAAAAAACACUUUCUUUUAGAGAAAUCAGACAAGGAAGACCAGCAGAAUUCAACGCAAAAGACAAACUUCUCUAGGAAUUUUAUGAAUGAAGCAGCAUCUGUGGAGGGAAACGGACAGAUGAUGCCUUGGUUCAGGGCCUUUCUUCAAAGUCUGAAGAAGUGGUCCGACCCAAAGCAUCAUCUGCCCAUGUACCUUCAGAGAUGCUGCCUGACCCACCAAAUUCCCCCCACAGUUUGUUUUUUUGCUCAACAUUCCAGCAUCUGAUGUCUCCUAUGUCUCCAAGAUAUCAAUACAGCUUUUUGUGGCUAGAAUUAUCAGCACACUUAUCUUUCACUUGUCGAGUAUUUACAGCACAGAAACAGAUCUGUACCAUUGUUGCUAUUCCACAUGUUUCCUAUAACUGCUUGCUUAUGUGUAAAAAUGUGAACUGGGAAUAUAACAUGAAAUUAUCACAUUGUACAUUUCCCAGCAAACAGAUUGACUUGACUCCCACUUGAGGACAUUAAAUGCAAACAACCUCGCAACAACCAGCAGACCAAGAAAAACUGAUUGUUAUUAUUAAACUAAUUUAUUUGUUGCCUGUGAAUUAAAUGUACCUAAAAAAAUUAACCCAGCGAAAAAGAGAUUUGUUUGUUGAAGGUUUAUAUCUCCUCUGAUGAAUACAAAAAAUGUACAAAAUUAAAGCUAAACAUUAAAGAAGUCUUGCUAAUGGAAA